UGAGGCCUCUGCAAGGGAUCUACAACCAACUGAAAAGUACUUAAUCUUACAUUUGGAAUGUUCUGAAACAUUCUGGAACCUUCUGGAACCUUUUAGAACCUUAUGAUCCCUGUUGACAUCUUGAAGCCACCUGAGGAACUGAAGCUAUUUUUUGUUUUUCUCUGACUAGUCUGUGGUCUCUACCUGUCUGUACUGGUCUUUGCUGGUCUGUACUAGUCUGAACUGGUCUGUAGUGGUCAGGAUGCGAGGGUUAGAGCUAAAGGCCCUCGGUGCAGCAUUGCUGGUCCUUUCAGUGGUUAUCACCUCUCAUUGUCAGUCGGACUCUUCAGACUGCUCCCAGGCUGAGUCAUGUGACCUGUGUGUCGGAGACUCCACCUUAAAUCUGACUGGCUGUGUCUGGAGGGUCUGCGGGAACAGUAAUGAUACUGGGUGUGUAUCCGAUCAGGGUGAUUCUCAGAACUGUAAUGUGACAAACGACCCAGCCAUGUGCACAGUCAUAGAGAUAGCGGAAGAAGGUGAAGGGGACUCAGAUGAGUCUCCUCCAGAGCCAUCAGAGUUCUCCCAGGCCAGCUUUGACAUGUCCAGUUUCAUAGGAGGCAUCAUCCUGGUGCUGUGUGUACAGGCUGGGGGAUUCUUCGCCAUGCGCUUCCUCAAGAAAGAUACCACCUACGACCCCAUAGAGCAGCCAGCCUAGAGGAGAGGAGAGAGAGAAGAGGAGGACAGUGAAAGAUGAAGGAGGGAGGGAUGAGUGGGAGCUGUGACUCACCAUGCUGUCACAAUGCUUUGCAUGACGUCAAUCUACCAUACUCCAGUGCGUGUGUUAUACUUUUUUGUGUGUCCCAGAUGUGCACCUGUCGGUCAUUUUGUUUGUUUGACUGACCGUCCAUUAUGUUGUGUAACUCCUGUUUGUGUGUGUGUGUGUGUGUGUGUGCCCAUGUGUGCGUGUGCCCAUGUGUGUGUGUGCCCAUGUGUGUGUGUGCCCAUGUGUGUGUGUGUGUGUGUGUGUGUGUGUGUGUGUGUAUUCCCUUUUUCCUGUCAGUUGGCCUAAAUGCCUCCUGAAUUUACAGUUGGCAAAUAGUAUUGUCUUAGAAGGUUGUAGUUAUGUGAAUGUGUAAUGAUUUUCAAUCUUGUUAAAACAUGUUUGUUAAUUUGUGUUGUUGAACUGGUUU
ensembl:lncRNA